GACGAACGCUGGCGGCGUGCUUAACACAUGCAAGUCGAACGGUAAGGCCCUUCGGGGUACACGAGUGGCGAACGGGUGAGUAACACGUGGGUGAUCUGCCCUGCACUUCGGGAUAAGCCUGGGAAACUGGGUCUAAUACCGGAUAGGACUCCGGACUGCAUGGUCUGGGGUGGAAAGCUUUUGCGGUGUGGGAUGGGCCCGCGGCCUAUCAGCUUGUUGGUGGGGUGAUGGCCUACCAAGGCGACGACGGGUAGCCAGCCUGAGAGGGUGACCGGCCAAACUGGGACUGAGAUACGGGCCAGACUCCUACGGGAGGCAGCAGUGGGGAAUAUUGCACAAUGGGCGCAAGCCUGAUGCAGCGACGCCGCGUGAGGGAUGACGGCCUUCGGGUUGUAAACCUCUUUCAGCACCGACGAAGCGCAAGUGACGGUAGGUGCAGAAGAAGGACCGGCCAACUACGUGCCAGCCGCCGCGGUAA
rnacentral:rRNA from 1 species